UACGAUCGCAAGAUUAAAACUCAAAGGAAUUGACGGGGCCCCGCACAAGCAGCGGAGCAUGCGGCUUAAUUCGACGCAACGCGAAGAACCUUACCAAGGCUUGACAUAUACAGGAAUAUGGCAGAGAUGUCAUAGCGGUAAAACGUCUGUAUACAGGUGGUGCAUGGUUGUCGUCAGCUCGUGUCGUGAGAUGUUGGGUUAAGUCCCGCAACGAGCGCAACCCUCGUUCUGUGUUGCCAGCAUUUAGUUGGGGACUCACAGGAGACUGCCGGGGUUAACUCGGAGGAAGGUGGGGAUGACGUCAAAUCAUCAUGCCCCUUAUGUCUUGGGCUGCACGCAUGCUACAAUGGCUGGUACAAAGGGCUGCAAUACUGCAAAGUGGAGCGAAUCCCAAAAAGCCAGUCUCAGUUCGGAUUGGGGUCUGCAACUCGACCCCAUGAAGUCGGAGUUGCUAGUAAUCGUAGAUCAGCAACGCUACGGUGAAUACGUUCCCGGGGCUUGUACACACCGCCCGUCACAUCACGAAAGUCGGUAACACCCAAAGUCAGUGGCCCAACCGCAAGGAGGGAGCUGCCAAAGGUGGGAUCGGUGAUUGGGAUG
rnacentral:rRNA from 1 species